UCGGAGGAGGGGAAGUAAUGAAUUGCCACACGGAGCAUAAAAAGACGAGGAGAGAAGGAAUUAACAUCACAAAGCGCUCAAAAAAGUCAGUUCCAGAGCUCAAAUUACGCAACCUCUCAAGAAUCUUCUCAUCUUCAUCGGCUGUCAAAUACCUUCCUAUUAAAUCAACAAAGAACACUAAAUAUUUCGAUAAGAAAUAUCAUGUAUGAACUGUAUUGUAUUAUUUGUUGACUAGAGCUAAAAAAACGAUUACGAAAAAUUAAGUAAAAACAUCUGCCCCGUGUGAGGCUCGAACUCACGACCUUCAGAUUAUGAGACUGACGCGCUGCCUACUGCGCCAACGAGGCUCUGAAGGCAUAAGAAUGCUCUGUUACUUUAAGAGGCAGCAGGAAGUGCCGGGGGAGGGGAGAAACGGGGCUUAUCUCGCUGCUGUUCCUACUGAAACAGACUAGACUGCAGCCGCUUCAGCUGAAUGCAGGGUCAUGCUGUGCCUUUCUUUUACUCUAAACUGCCGUCUGCACAUUUAGGACAAUACUUAGUUUUCAAUUUUACAACAUUAUCUUGGAAGGCUGUUGAUGAAUGAUUCGAUGAUAAUAGCUGAGAAGUCCUUUAACGACAAUACAUUGUGGAUAAUUUGAUGAUCUUGAAAGAAAACAUCUUUGCAAUGAAUCUAAAAACAAACACACAUUCAAACACGCAUACAGACAACGAUUAUGAAACUUCCUGACCGCGGUUCGGGGAAGUCAAGGGAUUACUGCUGGCUACAUUCUGUUAGCAAAUGUUAACUACAAGUCACACACCCGGGCAACAUUCCACUGAAAAUGGAGAACAGCUUCUUUCCGACUGCAUUUUGUCAUUGGAGAGAACCCAUGGUGGCCGACGGUCUGCCUGUCAUGCCAUUGGCUGACGCAGCUGGUGACCUGUUCCAGGAAGGUCUCAUGGUGCUCCAGGAUCUCUGGGAUCUGGUAGAACAUCUCGUCCACCAGCAGGGGGUCCACGAUGCAGCUGCUGUCCGGCUGCUUCAGGGGCCGCAUGUAGCCCUGAGGGAAGAAGGACCAGACAUAUUGGAUAUAGAGAGAUGAAGCUAUAUUUAACACAAGUAGUAGCACCAUUCACCAUUGUGUUUGUUUGUGUUCACUGGGUGACAAGGAGGAGCAUCAAUCCAGCGAUGUUGUAGACACCCAAUAAACCUACUUGAAUACGUUU